rnacentral:misc_RNA from 1 species
UUAAGUUCAGCGGGUAGUCCUACCUGAUUUGAGGUCAAAUUGUCAGAAGGUGUCUCUAAGAAAGACCAUUAGAAGCAAGACCUCAUUGUAUACUGCUUGAGCAAAUGGCAUAGAUAAUUAUCACACCAAAGCUAGGCUUAACAAAGGUCCCACUAAUACAUUUAAGGAGAGCCGACUUCUGAACAAGCCUGCAAGCUCCC